UGAGCAAUCUGCCCUUCUCAUCGGAAUAAGCGUUGGAAACGACGUCUAAUGCCGAAUACGACCUCCUUUCGCAUGAUCGGAGGUGGAAAGCUCCGGCGGAGAAGGAUGAGCUCGCGGCCUAUCAGCUAGUUGGUGUGGGUAAUGGCCCACCAAGGCGACGACGGGUAGCCGGCCUGAGAGGGUGAUCGGCCACACUGGGACUGAGACACGGCCCAGACUCCGUAGGAGG
rnacentral:rRNA from 1 species